AUGAACACCAAACACGAACAGCAAAACCAUAACAUUGUUUUUCCUGAUUUUAACGCAACGAAUUUCAACAUGACAGUUAGACCUCAAGUUAUUUUUACAUAUUUCAGUUUCCACAAAAUCGUCUCAACAUUAAAUCUAUACUCUAUCACAGAUUUCAAAUUGUUUCAUCUUUUUUUCCAGAAAAUAAAUGCAAACAAAAUAUAA